UAACACCCACACGCUCUGGAGCAUCCUCGCUCUCUGGAAAGCCUGCUGAAUUCGACAAGAGCUGCCUCUCAGCACAGGUACAAAACACUUCCAGCUCAACCGGCUAAAUGGAUAAACCUGUCCGGCAUAGCUCUUAAACAGCACAGGAGACCUGCUGGCUUUAAGAGUUGGAGAAUGGAUUGCUGUGCCUGAGAAGAGCAAAGGGCAGCAGAAUAAGGGGUGCUAGGAAACUUUGUGUGGGUUACUGGCAUGCCGGUCGGAUGGUGGUGAUGUGAGUGGCAGCUGUGCUGUGGCAUGAAGGUUGUGAUGGCUUAAAGAAAGGAGCCCCAUGUGGAAAAAAAGAAAAAAGAAAAAAAGAGUAAGGGAGAGGGAGAAGAAAAAAGGGGAUACACUUGUGGAUGACAAAAGGAUGGGUUUCUGUUUAAUGAAGCAGCUGAGAGGCAUGAGUGUGGUGUUAGUGCUACUUCCUACGGUGCUGUCUGGUAUGCUCACGGAGGCUCAGCGCACUUGCCCCAGGAACUGCAGAUGUGAUGGUGUACUGUGAUUCUCACGCAUUCAGAGAUACCCCUUGGAAUAUUUCUGGAGGAUCUCAAGGCUUAUUGCUGCACUACAACAACAUCCAGAAGUUUAAAUCAAAUCAGUUUUGGGGCCUGAAUCAGCUCAUCUGGCUUUAUCUUGGCCAUAUUUACAUCAGCUGCGUGGAGGAGGAUGUGUUUCAGGGGAUCUGAAGGCUGAAGGAACUAAUUCUAAGCUCCAACAAAAAUACUCAUCUGCACAACAAAACAUUUCACCUGGGCCCCAAUCUCUGCAAUCUGGACCUUUCUUACAACAAGCAGCAGGUGUUACAGUCAGAGCAAUUUAAGGGCCUUCGCAAACUCUUGUUCUUGCACUUGAGGUCCAACUCACUGAAAACGGGACCAGUCCGAGUUUUUCAAGAUUGCCGGAACCUUGAUUUUCUGGAUUUGGGCUACAACUGUGUGCAGAGUCUGUCCCGCAAUGCUUUUGCUGGCCUCCUGAAGUUAACAGAGCUCCAUCUAGAGCACAACCAGUUUUCUAAGAUCAGCUUGGCCCACUUUCCACGCCUCUUCAAACUUUGAUCCAUUUAUUUGCAGUGGAAUUGGAUCCGGUCUAGCAUACAUGCUAAAUCGGUCACAUUAUAUUAUGCUCAUCCACCUUCUCCUUUCGUUAGUAGGAGGAGAUAAAGCACUAAAGGACUGUAAUGUUAAAAAAAACCUGUUAAGAAACUAUAGAUCUGUUCCCUGUAAGACUAUUUUGAAAGGAAGUGUCAGUACUAGUGCCAUUUAUUAGUUAAUUAUUGAGCCCUGACAGCAUGUAUUGUUCUGUAUAAGGCUCAUGUUAGGACACUCUCUGGCCCAAAGAUCUUGGAGUCGAAUGUCCUAAUUCCUCGUGUGCCCUUGACUUCAGUGGAGCCACUAAUGUGUACAAGUGAGCGGACAUGGAAGACAGCAUGAGAACUGCAUUAGAGAGACCAACUGGCGGCUUCAGCAGUGGUGUCUUGAGGCAGGCUUCGGCUUCCUGGACAACGACCCGCACAUCACGACGAGGGACAUGUUCAGUUGGGAUGGGCUUCACCUGUCCCCCAAAGGGGUGCUGGUACCGACAGCUGAUUUUUUAAGGAGGUGUAUCGGCCAAUACCUAUCCGCUUUUGUUAGAGCUGCAUGCAGCUGGUAUCUCACAAGCAUGUGUGUGCUUGCAGGCGGUGAGGCCAGCUCCUCAUUCCCUCCCUUGCCCGUACACCCACCACCAAAAUUAAAAUGUUGC